rnacentral:misc_RNA from 1 species
AAAAUCAAAGUUUUGGCAACGUCUGUCUGCGGAACUGACAAAAGCAUUUAUAACUCCGCUCAAAGCGAAGGCAUUAGAAAUGAAAUGCAACGCUACUUAAAAGAGGGGAGUUAUAGUCCAAUCAUUGUCGGUCAUGAAUUCUGCG